rnacentral:lncRNA from 1 species
ACUGUGACAAAAGUAACCUUAUUUAAUUAUCAAUAAUGAUAUAAGCCACAAGAAAAAUAGGUCUAAAAUUUCUUUCCGUGAAAGAUAAGAAUUUAUUGUUCUUUUGAUCAAAGAUCUUAAGAAGUAGGGUUUUGAUGUGUUGUAUGAGUCCAAGCAGAAUGGUCACAUCUAGGCUUCUAUAUAAAUCUCAAUUUGAAUAUUUAAUCUAAAAGACAUGAGCAACAUUGUCUUAAGAACUAUGUCACUGAAGUGCAGAUGCCUGCUGACGAUGGAACCCCGUCAUGCUUUGUUUACUAAGUGGCUAGCUUUAGGUGUUUUGUUUGAUUUGUGGGCAAAAGGCAAUCUCAAAACCUAUAGAGUAUUUAAUGUAGUCUGUAUCCGUAAUCUGGAUCACUUGGCGUGCUAGAGGCUUAGCAGGUUCUAGGAAUCUUACACUGGUGCUUAAGGCUUUUGGAAGCAUUGCACUCUUGUUCAUUAAAGCUCUAUGUAUGUACAUUGUACAUAGGGGGUUGUCUGUGAACACCUGUAUUCACAUGAAUAUUGGUCAUGUGCACGGCUGAUUGUCAGGUAUAUAAAAAUCACAGCUCCUUAGAGAAUUUGGAAGAUAAUUUUUACUCUAUAGAGGCCAUGUUUACUUUUGUUACUUUGAUAUGUUUUAAACUUUUUACAUUUUUAUAUUUACUUCAUGGUUUCUUUCCUACUGGUUAAAAUAUUUCAAUAAUACAAAUUGAUUUUUUCCUAUAAAAGUUUAUUAAAAUACACUAAAUGUCUUUAUGCUACGAGUAAACUAUGAAAUAGUACUUGAUUAUACUUAAACAUUUAGUAUUUAACCAUGUGCCUGAUAAGAGCUCUGUGUGUGUCCCUCCCCUGCCACACACACACACACACACACACACACAACACACACACGGCUGUCGAUAUAUAAAGAAAACAUUAAGUGUUUUAGUAGUAACUGCUGUUUCUGAUAGUCACCGGUGUGUGAAAGUUUAGGAAGAAACUAUAGCUACUCGUUUUACAUUAAUGGAUCAUAGGACUUAGAAUAAGUGUAGAACUUGACAACAAUGUAGCCAAGUCAUAUGCAAAAAUAUUUGAUGUGAUUUUGAUAAAGACUGUUAGGGCAUAUAAAUAUAGUAGGUCAUAUAUGGAAGUAAUAACAUAAAAUAUGAGAGAGGAAAAAAUGGCACACAUACUGAGUUUUUAACCUAGAAUCUAGAGUAUUAACAGAUUUUCUCCUUACUUGUUCAUUGGAAGUGACCUCUCAGAAAGGGGGUGUAUUUCUCAGAUGAUUUUUAACACUGGAUUCAGUUUUCUUCAGUUUUAAUAUAACCGUAAUACUUUUUCUUCCUUGUUUUUUUUUUUUUUUCCUGCCAAGUUAACUUACUAGGUGAUGGCUCUCAUUGCCAUUCAGUAAAUCAUGAAAUAGACUUUCAAAGAAAGACUUUCAGUGGUAUACUUCUAAAAUAAAACUAAAUUCUGUCUUAUUUUCUUCAUUCUCACAUGAGCUUCUGUGCCUGUGUUUUAUUUCAUUUGUGCACAACCCACUUUCAUUUCAACUAACAUUUAGAAUGCCAUUCGGAAUCGCAGGACUUAACAAACUACUAAUAUCAGGUUAAAGAUGGAAUUACGUAAACUUUUAACAGUGCCUAUAAGUAUACAUGUUAGCCACAUUGACAUGUUAACCAUUGUGCAGUUUGGUUUAACACGUAUCCAUUAUUUGUAUUCAUUAUCAAUGAUAUUCAGAAAUAUUUGAAAAAUUGCAUCUGCAUCAAACACCCAACUUGUUCAUCUCACCUCUUCUUAAGCACGACAUACAACAGUUACACAGAAUUUACAACGCACUAGGCAUGUUACGUGAUCUGAAGAUGAAAGUCUGUAGGAGGAUAUGUACAGGUUAUGUUCAUCUAGAAGGUUGCUAGGGAUUUGGACAUCACUGUAAUUUGACAUUUUGGAAUCCUGGAACCAUUGUGUAUAGAGACCAGUUGGUUUUUAUUUUGAAGUCAGCUCAUUUUAAAAGACGCUUAUCCUUGCCAUGUAGCGGUGUUUACUUACUGCUUGUGAACUGUUUUGGAUAGAAAUCACACUAUAAUCCACUUCCUCUUUACUGCUGGUUAUUUUUAAUAAUGGUAUACAUUCUUCUAAGCUGUUUUUAAAGAACAAGCAGCCAUUUCUUCAAGUAGCAUGCACUUUGUUUUGUUUGCUUCAUGGUAUACACAUAAGAAUUCAUUCAUGAGAGCACCUUCAUAAUAGUGGCACCAUAGCCCAACUUUAAAGUUUUGGACACGUUUCUUUCUGCUUACAUAUGUCUGUCGUCUUUUAUGGUACAUCCAGAUUUUUAAAAUAUGAGGAUGAGUAGUGAGAUUCAGCCUAGUUUUACAAAAGGUUGCACUGUACGUCUGUUAUUGGAGCUAGGCAGUAGGUAUUACUGGCUUACUGUUCAGAAGAGUAACGUUUACUUCAUUGUGGAAAGGAAGUAGCGUUCCGCUGUUGUAGCUGUACACCAUGAUGGCAGCAGAGACAGGGAGAAAAUUAGAAUGGUAACAGUGCUGCAGAAGUCAUUCUUAAUUCCUGACAACAAUCCAAAGCCUUAUUUCCUUACAUGCAUGAUACUUCUGUAUAGAUACAUCGAUACAGAAAUUAUUCCAUUUCAGUUACCAGAAAUGUCUCAGGGAAAACCUAUUUGUAGAUUUGUUUGUUUGUUUGUUUGCUUCAAAGCCACCUCUUAGUUAUUACCAGGUCACUGUCACUGAUGUUGCAUUGUAAGCCUGUUAUUCUUUCUGUCAUUACCUCACUGGCAGUAAAUCCUUAUCCAUUCUAAAAGAUAAAGUUUGUUCGAAAAACCAGCUGUAGUAUUUUUUUUAAGUUUCUAUGGUAACUAUACCAAAAAUGAGUAUUUCUCUAAUUUCAAGCAGUAAGUAUUCACAUUUCUGUUACUUUUAGGAGUUUUGAUUAGGAUCCAAGUAUGGUCUGUAUACUGUAAUUUUAGAAAUACCUUUUCAUGUGUUGUGGCCACCAUACCAGAAGUUUCUUCCAUCUGUCUUUUCAUUCUAAAAGUGGCUUUAUUUUCUCAUAGUUUCCCUGUGUUGAUGGUUGCAUUGCACCCUGAAUGCAUCCUCUGCAUUGUUAUAAGUUGUUCGUAAGGUCUAGAGCCUUGCUUGCAUUCAACAGUCAUUGUGUGUGCAGGGUUGCUUCGUAGGAGAUGAUGCAUUCUUCCACUAAGAGGCUUAUAAUUCUUGCUUUCUGCUCUGACACUGGCAACCGUUUGGUCCUCAAUGCAGAGACACAGGAACAGAGGGCCUACUCAUGCUUAGAUAUAGUAACUGCUUUCCCUUUGCAGCGUGCCUGAUACACGAAUAAGUGUGUCCAUGCUUCCCCUUUCCACACUGGGAACCAGUCCAUAUGAAUGUGUCUCAAGUAGUAGAUUUAUGAUACUUUGACUGAAUUAACAAAUGGUCUUUUCUGUCAUCUUGUAUGUAUCCCAGAUUUAUAUUUUAUUAUUAUUUGUCUACCUUGUAGUUCAGUGAAAACUCUUGAUUGUAACAUGAGCUAAAAUUAGUAUGUAUUCCAAGUAUAUUUGUGCUUCUAGAGCAACUCAGUUGUAUGUAUUUUAAAGUAGUCUGAACUGGACAUUUUAAGUGAUAAAUAAUACUUUUAAAUGUCAGUGUAAUUGUCACUAUUUGGGAUACAUAAUGUGCUUCAUUUUAAAAGUUAACCUUUUCUCACAAAAUGAUAUUUAAAAAUGAUUAAAUGUGCUUCAUUUUU